UACGUAGGUGGCAAGCGUUGUCCGGAAUUACUGGGUGUAAAGGGCGUGUAGGCGGGGAAAUAAGUCAGAUGUGAAAUUCCAGGGCUCAACCCUGGCGCUGCAUCUGAAACUAUAUCUCUUGAGUGCUGGAGAGGAAAGCGGAAUUCCUAGUGUAGCGGUGAAAUGCGUAGAUAUUAGGAGGAACACCAGUGGCGAAGGCGGCUUUCUGGACAGUAACUGACGCUGAGGCGAGAAAGCGUGGGGAGCAAACAGG
rnacentral:rRNA from 1 species